CCUACGGGUGGCUGCAGUGGGGAAUAUUGGACAAUGGGGGGAACCCUGAUCCAGCCAUGCCGCGUGUGUGAAGAAGGCCCUCGGGUUGUAAAGCACUUUCAGUGAGGAAGAACGCCUGGUGGUUAAUACCCAUCAGGAAAGACAUCACUCACAGAAGAAGCACCGGCUAACUCCGUGCCAGCAGCCGCGGUAAUACGGAGGGUGCGAGCGUUAAUCGGGAUUACUGGGCGUAAAGCGCGCGUAGGUGGCUUGAUAAGCCGGUUGUGAAAGCCCCGGGCUCAACCUGGGAACGGCAUCCGGAACUGUCAAGCUAGAGUGCAGGAGAGGAAGGUAGAAUUCCCGGUGUAGCGGUGAAAUGCGUAGAGAUCGGGAGGAAUACCAGUGGCGAAGGCGGCCUUCUGGACUGACACUGACACUGAGGUGCGAAAGCGUGGGUAGCAAACAGGAUUAGAUACCCCAGUAGUC
rnacentral:rRNA from 1 species